GACGUAGGGCGCGAGCGUUGUCCGGAUUAUUGGGCGUAAAGAGCUCGUAGGCGGCUUGUCGCGUCGACUGUGAAAACCUGCAGCUUAACUGUGGGCGUGCGGUCGAUACGGGCAUCACUGGAGUUCGGCAGGGGAGACUGGAAUUCCUGGUGUAGCGGUGAAAUGCGCAGAGUAGUCAGGAGGAACACCUGCGGCGAAGGCGGGUGCUGGGCUGACACGUGACGCUGGAGGCGCGGAAAGACCUAGGGGAGCGAACGGG
rnacentral:rRNA from 1 species